UACGGGGGGGAGCAAGCGUUGUUCGGAUUUACUGGGCGUAAAGGGCGCGUAGGCGGUCGUGACAAGUCACUUGUGAAAUCUCCGGGCUUAACUCGGAACGGUCAAGUGAUACUGUCGGACUAGAGUGCAGAAGGGGCAACUGGAAUUCUCGGUGUAGCGGUGAAAUGCGUAGAUAUCGAGAGGAACACCUGCGGCGAAGGCGGGUUGCUGGGCUGACACUGACGCUGAGGCGCGAAAGCUAGGGGAGCGAACGGG
rnacentral:rRNA from 1 species